rnacentral:rRNA from 2 species
UGGGGAAUAUUGCGCAAUGGGGGAAACCCUGACGCAGCAACGCCGCGUGAAGGAUGAAGGUUUUCGGAUUGUAAACUUCUUUGAUGAGGGACGAAUAAUGACGGUACCUCAAAAACAAGCCACGGCUAACUACGUGCCAGCAGCCGCGGUAAUACGUAGGUGGCGAGCGUUGUCCGGAAUUACUGGGUGUAAAGGGCGUGUAGGCGGGAAUGUAAGUCAGAUGUGAAAUACCGAAGCUUAACUUCGGAGCUGCAUCUGAAACUAUGUUUCUUGAGUGUCGGAGAGGAAAGCGGAAUUCCCAGUGUAGCGGUGAAAUGCGUAGAUAUUGGGAGGAACACCAGUGGCGAAGGCGGCUUUCUGGACGACAACUGACGCUGAGGCGCGAAAGCGUGGGGAGCAAACAGG